rnacentral:snoRNA from 1 species
AUUGGAUCCAUGAUGCUACUUUUACAAACUGCGUUAUCUAUCUGAACUUCUUCUUUUGAGGGAUUGAAGAUACUCUUCCAUGCUGAGAUCCAGU